rnacentral:rRNA from 1 species
AUUGAACGCUGGCGGCAGGCCUAACACAUGCAAGUCGAGCGGAUGAAGGGAGCUUGCUCCUGGAUUCAGCGGCGGACGGGUGAGUAAUGCCUAGGAAUCUGCCUGGUAGUGGGGGAUAACGUCCGGAAACGGGCGCUAAUACCGCAUACGUCCUGAGGGAGAAAGUGGGGGAUCUUCGGACCUCACGCUAUCAGAUGAGCCUAGGUCGGAUUAGCUAGUUGGUGGGGUAAAGGCCUACCAAGGCGACGAUCCGUAACUGGUCUGAGAGGAUGAUCAGUCAAACCGGAACUUAGGAACGGUCCAGACUCCUACGGGAGGCAGCAGUGGGGAAUAUUGGACAAUGGGCGAAAGCCUGAUCCAGCCAUGCCGCGUGUGUGAAGAAGGUCUUCGGAUUGUAAAGCACUUUAAGUUGGGAGGAAGGGCAGUAAGUUAAUACCUUGCUGUUUUGACGUUACCAACAGAAUAAGCACCGGCUAACUUCGUG